GGACUUCGUGGACUAUCCUGGAGUGUAGGGAGUAGCGCUUGUUAGGCUACAUUUUGGUAGGCUUAGGGCCUAGUUUGUAUUUUGGAUGACUGUAUGUCUUAUACAUUAUACUCAGACAUGCUUAGUGCCUUUUGACCUUGUGAUAUAUUCGGUUCAUAACUCGUGUCUUUUGGUUGAUGAACUUAAUGUAUCCGCCCUAUGUAAAUUAUUCAGGUACACACUUUGCUUCGAGGAAGCCCUGUAAUAUAAUGUGUUGAUGUUAUAUUUAUUUUCUAUUGAAUGACGAAUUGCCGAGAUAGCUGCGGGCGUUCACGCGCGCCAUUUUAUUUAAGCGUGUUGUUUUAAAAAAAAAAAAAUAAUACCCCU
rnacentral:lncRNA from 1 species